AAUCAAUUUCCAUUAGCUGUAGUAUAGGUUCUAUAAGCUCAUGAGGUCAGGACUUUUCAUCUUCUCUCACCACUGACACACGGUCCCGUCACAGUGCUUGGCACAUAGUGGGUAUACUGUAAGCAUGCCAGUGGCCGAGUGAAUAAGUGAAUGGUACACUUCGAGCCUUAAGAGCUUAAUGGUUAAUUGCCCGGAUUCCGGCAGCAGCUUGCCAUUGUUCCAGUUCCAGUGCUUCAGGAGUUAUGCGACCUUGGACAAGUUACUUAACCAUCCAGGAACUUCAUUUGUGAAUUGGGGCUGACGGUAGUACCUGCUUCAGGGGGUGUUGUAUUAUAAAACUGCCUGGCACACACUCAGUUAUUACUUUCCAGUAUGUGCCAUGUAUACAGCGUGAGAACUCAGGAACACUAGCAAGUAGGGCCAGAGUUCCUAACUUCGUAUAACCAACUGUCUUUUUCAAAAGGAGCGUAUGUGGCAGAUUAUAUUCGCUCAAAACAUAGAGCCAGUAUCUCCUGACCCUUGUGUUCCUCCAGAACACUGCCGCUCCGCCAUUAAGAGGUGGACUCUAGGGGCACCUGCGUGGCUCAGUCAGUCAAGUGUCCAACUCUUGGUUUCGGUGUCAGGUCACAAGCUAAGGGUUCGUGGGUUCGAGCCCCACGUCGGGUUCCAUGGUGUCAGCACGGAACCUGCUUGGGAUUCUCUCCCUCCCUCUCUCUCUGCUCCUCCCCUGCUCAUGUGCACUCUCUUUCUCUCUCAAAGUAAACAUAAAAAAAAAAGGUAGAAUCUAGCCCUCCACCCAUUGAAUUUGGGGUGUUUAUGACUUGCUUGUAACUGAUACAAUGGGGCUGAAAUAACGCCCUGUGGCAUCCAUGGCUAGGUCUUACAAGGCAAUCCAGCGUCUGCUUUGUUAGUGGGAACAUUCCUCACCUUUGGAGCCCUGCGCUCCCACGUGAGAAGUUAGCCCAGCCCGAGGCUGCCGUGAAGCGGGGCAGCCGACGGCCAUGUGGUGAGGCCACAAGUAGCUUUUUCAGCCCUAGCUGAGGUCCCAGCCAGCAGCCAGCAUCGGCCACCGGAUGCAUGAAGAGGACGGUCACCUCCAAGUGGUCCCAGCCGUGGCCACCAGCUGUCUUUUUGCUGAGGUCCAGAUGUUGUGGAGGAGAGAUGAGCCAUACCCCCUGUGCCCUUCCAGUUCCUAACCUAGCCCGCAGGAUUAGGGUAGUAACGAUGGUUAUAUUACUCCCACUGAGUUUAGGGUAGUUCCAGUAGUAACUGGAACAACAUAUAGGAUUCCUAGACAGUGAACACAUAUGUGCCAACAUCCAUACUAAACACGGUACACACAUCUACACCCACCCUGGAGACUUCUCUACGCCUCCUAAAGGGAUGGGCUCCACAUCUACCUCAAAGAAUGCACGACACUUGUCAAUCGCCUGCCUAAAGUCUCUUUGCUGAGAAACCCUGUCCCCUCCCUUAUCUGAUCCAUACACCUUUCUAGCCACCCAACCCCUUUGUGUCCCAAGUAAAGCAGAAGUUGUGGCUGAAGUCAUUAAUAGGCCUACAAUCUCUGCCCAGGGAGGCCCUUUGCUAGAAUGGCCACCAGCCUGUCCCUGCGUGGUCCGGGGACAGACCCCUGUGCGACCAGCUCCAUCGCUUUCGGAAUCGUGGACUGCCUCACCUUCCACGGGAGCUGGGUAAUAGUGAACCCACAAACAGUAUUUCCCUAUGCGGCGGGCACUGAUUUCAUCCUCAGAAGAGCUCGGUGAGAUGAGAAAACUGAGGGCAGAGACAGAAAAUAGUUGGCCUAGAGUUCCACAGCUAGCCGGUGAAGGGGCUUGGAGCUGAGGCUUCCGCUUCCAGACGUCUUUCUUUAAAGGAAACGGAGAGGAAACAGUAAACGAGGCUGGAAGGAAACAAACGGAGUCAAUUGUGAGGAAACCGACUGCAGAUCUUUCUGCCAAGGGGGAUAAUGGCUCCGUGUGGCAGGUGAGGCUACUGGAGAGUCUGGGGAUGAAGCACAGAUAGAAUGUAUCUUUUAUUAAGUAGAGAAAACUGGGAAUUCUACUACGUGAUACCAAGGUUCCAGUUUGAGCGGACUCCACAGAAACCCUUCCCAUCUACAUGCGCCUCUAGCUGGGAAGAUUGCGCUGCCUUCCCGACCACAGGUGCCACGUGGAGCUGAUUCACGCUACCGCGCACAUGGUCCCCUCCGGGUCGCCCCAAGGGGCGGGGGCCGAGGGCAUGGCGGGUCUCAAAGAGCUACGUUACAAGUAAACUCAUGCCGACCUUUUCAGGAGUCCCUUGUGAGACUUUAUUUUAAAAGGUCUGCGCAGUGGGCUGUGGGGCAGAGGGCUGCGUAAGCGGUGUCGUGUGGCCAAGUGGAAUGUCCCAAUCUGUGGAAUCGUAGCGGGUGACCCGUCCGGUCAGGCAUUGUAGGAAGAGGACGACACGCUGCCACCGUGGCCUGUCCAAUUGGUGUGGACAAACCGUCCGGGGUUGGCUAAGAGUUCGUAAGUGUGAGCCCCGAAGUAAUCCCGCUGAGCCUGGAAAACAAGGAAUUGGACGGGUUGGGAUAACACGGGGACACGGACCCUCGGGCCGUGUCAGUGUUUACCACCUGCUCCGAAAGCUUACCUGGAUAAGGUUGGCGGGCAGCAUCUCGUGUCUGUAGCCGUCGUAGAAGGAGAGGGCGGUGGUGAAGCAGGGCAUGGGGAUGCCCGCCCGGACACCGGUGCUCACCGUCCGCCGCCAGGAGUCCUGAGCCAGAAAGAGCCAAAGACUCGGAGUCAGCCCCCAGAGAGGAGAACGGGCUGCGUUUGAAAUGACAACGCUCACGGGCAUCGAUGCUGGUGAGGGAAACACAAAGCCCGGUGUGGCAGAAUUCCCACACCGCCCAGCUCUGGGCUACCUACCUGGCAGUUUUCAACAGCAGACUUAAAAAAGUCAUCCAGUAGUAGAUUCUGAAGGUGUGGGUUCCGAUCGAAUGCGUCUUUUAUCUUUCCUAGGAACACGCUGAAACAAGCAAGAGGGAAGAAACCCAUGAAACUUCACCUCCGCGCGCUCAAUGCCUGCCAGAAGGCAGGGAAGGAAGCCGGAAGCUGGUACAUCCGCCCGCGAGGUACAGACUGACUCUCCUUAUCCCUUCAAGCCGGCUGUUUGCUCAAUGAAAACAGAGCCCACAUCCCACGAGGCAAGGCCAGAGGGCAUGACCGUCCUCCCAGAACCAGUUUAAAGGGAGUAGGGUUGACAGUCUAGUUAGAACAGCCGACCCCGUCCUGUCACCAGCGAGGGGACUGGCCGCGCACAUCCUAGGGAAACCGUCCCCAGGUGCAGAGGCUGCGACUCCCAGCACGGCGCCGCGGCGCGUCCCCGCACUUACCUCCUGAUGAUGCAGCCCCCCCUCCACAUCAGGGCGAUGCCACCGUAGUUGAGGGUCCAGCCGAAUUCCGUGGCGGCUUGUCUCAGCAGCAUAAAGCCUUGCGCGUACGAGAUGAUCUUGGAAGCAUACAGGGCCUACGGAACGACGGACGCGUCAGAGCUACGGUUAGCCACGUCCACCCCGCGGGCAGGGCAGGGCCGGGCCUGGCGCGGACAGCGGUGUCAGGACGGGGCUGGACUCUGCCGCCCCCACCCGGGGCCUCCCACGUCUCCAGGGGCCGCUCCCACCCCCACUGCCGCCCAAGGCGCCAACCGCGACCACUGCCAGGGAGCGGGCCCCACCUUCUGAAUGUCCUCCAGGAAUGAUUUCUUAUCACCUUCAAACUGGAUCUUUUGGGGACCCUUCAGCUUUUGGCUGGCUUGAACCCUCUCGUCCUUCAGAGACGAUAAGCACCGAGCAAAAACUGCCUCUCCUACGUGGGAGAGAGGAUAACGUUACCGAAGUUCACACGUGAAACUGGACAGAAAAGAGUACACGUAAGCCCGAGAAGUUGAGGAAAAAAUAGAAAUGGAGCCGGAUCUCCAACUGUACAAAGAGCCGGAAGUCUCAGUCUUGGGCUGCAAAAUCUAACAUGGCUCAGAAAGAACUUUUUUUUUUAAGUUUAUUUAUUUACUGAGAGAGAGAGAGAGAGAGAGAGAGAGAGAGAGAGAGAGAGAAUCCCAAGCAGGCUCUGCCCUGUCAGCAAAGAGCCCAACUCAGGGCUUGAUUCCAGGAACCGUGAGAUCAUGACCUGAGCCAAAACCAAGACUCGGAUGCUUGACCAACUGAGCUACCCAGAUGCCCCAGGAAGAACGUUUAUACAAAACUCUAGGCAGCUGACUUGGAAACUAAAACUCCACAAACAAGUCAAUCUUCCAACAUAAUGUAGGCAUCAACCACAAAAAUCAACACGCAACUCAAUGGGGAGCUUUGCAGAAAAAGCGAGGAGGUAAAGCCACCAUGAUUCACAAUUACUCUGUUGGUUCCCAAGUCAAAUUUCAAUUUCAGUUGAGAGGACUUUAAUUUUUAAAUGCUCAUCAAAGACUCUACUCUAAAAGCACUCGCUACUCCUCAAAAACUAGUGAAUAACAGGCAGCCUCAGAAUUUGGUGGGAGGCUCAACUAUGGCGGCAUUGCCUGCACACGGGGGGUGGUGUGAAACCACUAGAACACUGAGAGGUAACCUAGACUCACCCCUCAAAACACUCCAUUUUCUAUUUGUGAAAAUGUAGUUUCCAGUACAUCUAUAAUCACCACAACUUUGUUUCACUGGACUAAAAAACAUUUUAGAAAGGUAUUUUCAUAUCAAGACAUUUAGUAUCUUCAAGAACUAACCCUUAUAAAAGACUACUUGCUCAACUGACAAGGUCUUUUUUUUUUUAAUGUUUAUUCAUUUUUGAGAGGGGGAGAAGGGGCAGAGAGAGAGAGAGGGAGAUACAGAAUCAGAAGCAGCUCUGAGCUCCAAGCUGUCAGCACAGAGCCCGACGCGGGGCUCGAACCCAUGAACCACGAGAUCCUGACCUGGGCGGAAGUCAGACGCUUCACCGACUGAGCCAACCAGGUGCCCCUCAACUGACAAGUUCUCUAAUGAGAAGAAUUCCUCUAGUCAUUCCUUUCCCCGCAGACAAAAAUGAAGUAAACUCUCUGGGGACCAACAAAGGGCUUUGUUUUUGAGGAAAGGGUGCCAGCCACACACACUCGAGAACGCUGUCAAGAAUGCUGGGUAGUCCUUCUGUCCCCGGGCAGCCCCCUGGCCUGCACACACCCAAUGACUCGGCACAAGCAGGAGGAAGUAUCUGUGCAAGGCCACUGGCACUGGGAGGCCAGUGUGGCGCAAGCCCUCAGCGUUACUCAAGGCUCAGCCCGAAGAUUUACUUCCCCGGUAGUUCAGCAAACACACACGGUGCCCAUCCGGGGAUUAAGCCUGGCCUGCCUCUGCUGGGUAGAAGGGGUACACCGUCUCUCAAACAAGAGAGUGGGAUCCUUUCUGAGCCCGCAAUACUCUCCCAUUUGGGUCAGUGAUGACUACACUGUUCCCAGCUAUUGUCCCCUCGGUCCCCAGCCCAGGCAACACUCAGAUUUGCUAAACCUCGGCCACUUCCUUCUGCUUGGCCUGCUUCUCCUUACGGUGUCUCACAGCCCCAGCUCACUGUCACCAAGGAGCCACAAUUAAUCAGGAAAUCAGAAGGAGGGAGGAGGCCAGGGAGGGAAAGACAACCUUUAACCGGAAGGGUGAGGAGGAAACUGUGUUUUAUUGGAAAGGGAGCCGUUCUGCCAUCAGCAAACAUCAGCCUUUCAUUACACACACUAGACCCCUUGUUUUAUUCUUUUCUUUUCUUUUUUUAAAUUAAUUUGUUGGGUUUUUAAAAGGACACCUUUUAAAAGGUGCUGUCUGGGCACCCCGUUCUCCUUUUUCACUCUUGCCAGAAAUGUAGCUAUUUUAUUCUGAAAGGACCAACUUGUGGUUUUAUUAAUCCUCAUUAUUUGUUCUCUAUUUCUGCUUUCUAUGAUUUCCUUCGCCCUGUAUCUUUUUGAGUUUGAGGCUUAGCUCACGGCUAUAAGACAAACAACAUGCACGAAAAGGAUACACACCAAUGGUCAGGACAGUGGCUUUCUUCUACAAGAAGGGCAAGGAACUUAGGACAAGAAUGUUAAAGGACUUGAAAUGUGUAGGCAGUAUUUUAUUUUUAAAAUAUCGGGGGGGGGGAACCUCAGCAAAAUAUUAAUAAAUGCUGAGUACAUAAGCUUAUGUUAUUCUGCGAACUUUUGUAUGAAAAACUUCAUUACAGUGAUCUGACCCAUUAGAAAGUCAUGGAGGUCACCGACUACAGUUCAAUCACUAAGACAAAAACUAUCCCAGGGGCACCUGGGUGGCUCAGUCGGUUAAGCCUCUGGCUCUUGAUUUCGGCUCAGGUCAUGAUCUCAUGGUUCGUGGGUUCGAGCCUCACGUCAGGCUCUGCGCUGAGAGCACGAGCCUGCUUGGGAUUCUCUCUGUCCCUCCCCCACUGAUGCUCUCUUUCUCUCUCUCUCAAAAUAAAUAAAUAAACUUAAAAAAAAAAAAAAAAACAACAAAAAGCUAUCCCAAAGGUCAAACUGGAGAAGAAAGCCAAGAAUUUCCAAAUGUAUCUCAAAGUCCGUAUGACUGAGAGGAGGUUACCGGGAAGAGACUGAACAAUGUCAGCCUCGCACACCAGAAGAGCAGAAAGCACUCUGGAGGCUGACGAGGGCUGCACACAUUCUCCAAAGACCCGCUCCUUAGCUGCCAGUCUACACCAAUUUUCCAGGAGGACGUCAAGAGCAAAACAAUGAGAUAAAAGGCUCCAGGUGGAAGCGGCACCUUACCGAUGAGGGUGACAGGAACGCCGUACUCCAGGGCUGAGAUGGCAGUCCACUUCCCUGUGCCCUUCUGCCCCGCGCUGUCCCUGAUCUUCGGCAGCAGGUGCUUGCCGUCGCUGUCUUGGAACUUGAGGAUGUUGGCCGUGAUUUCAAUCAGGAACGAGUCGAGCUCGGUCUUAUUCCAUUCCUCAAAUGCCUAGUGCAGGACGCGAGAGGAAACACUGUGAGAGAAACCAGGGCCACACGGGAGAAGCCCCCUUAACCGGCUCACUGCUUUCCUCUGCGAAUGCUCACCGACGCUCACGAUUUGCUCAGCACGAGAGGCCAACAGGGUCUAGGUAUGUGCCUGAACGCUGCUCCCCGAGCUGAGCUCUCUGCUCCCCAGGAGACAGUUGUAUCUAUUUCCACCCGGUUAUGCUGACUUCCGAUUUCCAGCACAGCUCUUUCCCCCGAGGCAAGCGCCCCUCGCCCCACACCAUCGCCUCCUCAGAGGCCUUCCCCGCUCCCCUGAUCUAUAUCUACCCCUUACAACAGUUUCCUCCUCUUUGUAACAGGUACCACCAGCGGGCUUCAUCUAUUUAUUUAUUUUCAUGUUUUUGAGAGAGAGAGAGAGGGAGAGAGAGAGGGGGAAAGAGAGAGCACACAUGCGUGAGCAGGGAAGGGGCAGAGAAAGAGACAGAGAAUCCCAAGCAGGCCCCAUGUUGCCAGCACAGAGCCUGAUGUGGGGCUCGAUCCCGUGAACCAUGAGAUCAUGACCUGAGUCAAAGUGGGCCACUUCACUGACUGAGCCACCCAGGUGCCACACCCCUGAGUUUUCUAUUGUCUAUGCAAUUAUUAUUGUGUCUUCCCAGCUCCAUGCAGGAUAGCGCCUUUGUGGUUUUUUUUUCACUGUCACAUCCCCAGUGUUUAGAACAGUUCCUAGCGCGGACAGAAGCACUUCUAUGUAUUCGUUGAACACAUGUAUUAAGUUUGAAGUAAACCAAUUAAAUAUGAACACAAUAAAAAAAAGCACUAUUUCUUUGAAAACUAAGAUUGUUUUGGGGGUGCCUGGGUGGCUCAGUCGGUAAAGCAAAGUGGGGAUGACACCGUUAAACCUCAGGAGGAAAAACCGUACAAAAUCUGGAAGGACUCUGCAGUGCGUACCUCACAAGUGUCUCUAAAUCACGCUCCACUCGAAGUGACUGGAACUAGAAAUUCUGGAUGAGAAAGGACUACGAUGCGAGCCGGGAGAGCCACAUUUAGAGAAAAGGGCGGGAAUGGCGAUGAGUGUGCUCUCCUGUAUUUUCAGUUAAAAGAAGGGUUUGCCUCGUCAACGAUGCUGAAGAGAACAGAGUACUGAGGCUUACCUUGAAACGUAUUUGUAAACGAUCAAACCGACGGAGGGCUGGCCAGAUAAUCGACACGGCAAGCGUAGUGUAACGCUAAGCAAAGAAUCAGGGUGGUGUGCCCACAAGUGCUCACUACCGAAUUCUUUCAGCUUUGCUGUAUGUUUGCACAUCUUCAUAAUAAAAUAUCGGGGUGGGGGCGGGGGGUGUUAUGUUUCCCCACUCUGGCUAACUUUUUUGACUAACUGCCAAACAGCCAGUCCCAACCUGACCAGAAAAGCAAGCUUCUCGGGGUGCCCCGCUGGCUUCGUCAGUGGAGUGUGCGACUCUUGAUCUUGCGGUUUUGAGUUUAAGCCCCACCUUGGGUGUAGAGAUUACUUUCAAAAUAAAAUCUUUAAAAAAAAAAAA